rnacentral:rRNA from 1 species
UACGUAGGGUGCGAGCGUUAAUCGGAAUUACUGGGCGUAAAGCGUGCGCAGGCGGUUUUGUAAGCCAGAUGUGAAAGCCCCGGGCUUAACCUGGGAAUGGCAUUUGGGACUGCAAGGCUGGAGUGUGGCAGAGGAGACUGGAAUUCCUGGUGUAGCAGUGAAAUGCGUAGAUAUCAGGAGGAAUACCGAUGCGAAGGCAGGUCUCUGGGCUGACACUGACGCUCAUGCACGAAAGCGUGGGGAGCAAAC